UCUUCAAACUGUCCUACAGACGAAGAUAGGUAUUCCCCCAGCACUGAUCACACCUCUUCAAACUGUCCUACAGAUGAAGAUAGGUAUUCCCCCAGCACUGAUCACACCUCUUCAAACUGUCCUACAGACGAAGAUAGGUAUUCCCCCAGCACUGAUCACACCUCUUCAAACUGUCCUACAGACGAAGAUAGGUAUUCCCCCAGCACUGAUCACACCUCUUCAAACUGUCCUACAGAUGAAGAUAGGUAUUCCCCCAGCACUGAUCACACCUCUUCAAACUGUCCUGCAGACGAAGAUAGGUAUUCCCCCAGCACUGAUCACACCUCUUCAAACUGUCCUGCAGACGAAGAUAGGUAUUCCCCCAGCACUGAUCACACCUCUUCAAACUGUCCUACAGACGAAGAUAGGUAUUCCCCCAGCACUGAUCACACCUCUUCAAACUGUCCUACAGACGAAGAUAGGUAUUCCCCCAGCACUGAUCACACCUCUUCAAACUGUCCUACAGAUGAAGAUAGGUAUUCCCCCAGCACUGAUCACACCUCUUCAAACUGUCCUGCAGACGAAGAUAGGUAUUCCCCCAGCACUGAUCACACCUCUUCAAACUGUCCUACAGAUGAAGAUAGGUAUUCCCCCAGCACUGAUCACACCUCUUCAAACUGUCCUACAGACGAAGAUAGGUAUUCCCCCAGCACUGAUCACACCUCUUCAAACUGUCCUGCAGACGAAGAUAGGUAUUCCCCCAGCACUGAUCACACCUCUUCAAACUGUCCUGCAGACAGUCAGCACUGAAGUGUGAAGUCAGAUGUGUGAAAACUAUUGAGCCCAACAAUGGCAGGAGAGGUAUCCCCCCAGCACUGAACACACCCAGUCCCACAACUGCACUGUUCCUCCAUCAUAGAGACGGAUAAAUUCAGAGAGCUGGAGAGAGACAUAGUGGAGCUCAGAGAACUAGUCCACACAAUCCAGACAGAACAAGACCACAAAACAGACCAGCACAACCCCUCUUCAGGAAAGAGUGGCAACAGCACUCGCGGGUGUGAUUGAAAAAGCUUCUUCCACUUUCCCCAACGCACAAGUGGUUGUCACCCUGCUACCAUGAAAAUACUUUCACCCUGCCACCAUACAGUGGGUGAAUGCAAGCAUUUCGCGAGACUGUGAUUCAAAACAUAAUGUCUACCUGGCCCACAACUCCACCCUGGACUUGAACAGCCUUUACAACCAGGUCCACCUCUACAAGGCAGCAAUCCCAACUUUUUCCAGGACCCUGAAGGACGUCACCCUCAACCAUAGCCCCAGCACCUCACACAGGAACAACAGAUCAACAGCCACCCCGCCCAGACCAGCGAGACACCCUCCCAAACCUGCAAAAAAAACUCCCAAAGGACCUGCACCAAGAGAACCCAUGCCAGAGGACCUACACCCAGACCACAGCAUCACCUGCCACACCACAACCAGCUAAGAACACCACAAGCAAACCCUGGCCACACCGUAUAUAGGCCCCCCAUAUCAGUCCAAUGUGCCAUCUGCCCACCCCAUGCCACCCGCCCCUGCGGCAAGGACCUCAGCAUGACAGCAGAACAUAUGCCCAGGUCGUGAAGCAGAGCAACAGGCCUAAACCCCUCUACUACACCCGCACAAGCCCCAUCCUGCGACCUAAGAGGUAUGUAUCAGAUGCUCAACAUGCUCUGCUCACACCUACUGUGAUGGUCCGGGCCUAAACCACACAAAGCUUUCACUAUCUCAUCCUGGAAUAUACAAGGUCUGAGGUCAUCUGCCCUUGGCCUAAACAGCAGGAACCCAGACUUCAUCAAAUACAGACAUUGUCAUCCUACAAGAAACAUGGUAUAAAAGAGAUGGACCCACUGGUUGCCCUCUAAGUUACAGAGAGCUGGUAUUCCCAUCCACCAAACUACCAGGUGUGAAACAGGGAAGAGACUCAGGGGGUAUGCUAAUUUGGUAUAGAGCAGACCUAACCCACUCAAUUAAAUUUGUCAAAAGAGGAACAUUUUACAUCUGGCUAGAAAUGAAUCAGGAAAUUAUCUAAACAGAGAAAAAUGUCCUCAUGUGUGCUGCCUAUAUCCCCCAAUAGAAUCCCCAUACAUUAACGAUGACAGCUUCUCCAUCCUAGAGUGGGAGAUCAACAAAUUCCAGGCUCAGGGACUUGUACUAGUCUGUGGCGACCUAAAUGCCAGAACUGGAUAAGAACCCGACACCCUCAGCACACAGGGGGGACAAACACCUACCUGGAGUUGACAGCAUUCCCUUCACCAUAUGCCCCCCUAGACACAACUACUACAACAAAACAAAGAAAAACGGGUCACAACUCCUGCAACUCUGUUGGGUAUGCUGGGUAUGUACAUAGUCAAUAGUAGGCUUUGAGGGGACUCCUAUGGUAGGUACACCUAUAGCUCAUCUCUUGGUAGUAGUGGUAGUAGUAUUGUAGACUACUUUAUCACUGACCUCAACCCAGAGUCUCUUGAUAAAGCGUUCACAGUCAGUCUACUGACACCCCUUUCAGAUCACAGGAAAAUCACACUCCACUUAAAAUGAGGCGAUGCUCAAUCAUGAGGCAUCAAAGCCAAAGGAACUGAAUAAUAUUAAGAAAUGCUAUAGAUGGAAAGAAAAUAACAAAAAACCAUUGGGCAACAAUAAAUUCAAUCCCUUCUAGACAAUUUCCUGGACAAAAUGUUUCACUGUAACAGUGAAGGUGUACACUUGGCAGUAGAAAACCUAAACAAUAUAUUUGACGUCUCAGCCUCCCUUUCACAUCUGAAAAUGUCAAGCAGACAACCUAAGAAAAUGAACAACAAUGAUAAAUGGUUUGAUGAAGAAUGCAAGAACCUAACAAAGAAGUUGAGAAACCUGUCCAACCAAAACCAUAGAGACCCAGAAAACCUGAGCCUAUGUCUUCACUAUGGUGAAUCACUAAAACAAUACAGAAAUACACUACGGAAAAAGAGGGAACAGCACAUCAGAAAUCAACUCAAUGUAAUUGAAGAAUCCAUUUUCCCACCACUUCUGGGAAAAUUGGAAAACUCGAAUAAAACGACAACAUGAAGAGUUAUCUAUCCAAAACGGAGAUGCAUGGAUAAACAACUUCUCCAAUUCUUUGGGUUCUAUAACAAAGAACAAACAGCAAAAACAUAUACAAGGUCAAAUGCAAAUCUUAUAAUCAACUACUAAAGACUACUAGAACCCACUGGAUUCUCCAAUUACAUUGAAUGAACCACAGGAAAAAAUACAAACCCUCCAACCGAAAAAGGCCUGUAGUAUCUGAAAUUAAAUGAUCAAAUAUACAGACCACAAAUUCCAAUUGGCUAUAUACUUAAACUCUUUAACAUCAUCCUCAGCUCUGGCAUCUUCCCUAGUAUUUGGAACUAAGGACUGAUCAACCCAAUCCACAAAAGUGGAGACAAAUUUGACCCCAAUAACUACCGGAGGAUAUGUGUCAACAGCAACCUUGGGAAAAACCUCCAUGAACUUCCUCAAUGAAGAAAAUGUACUGAGCAAAUGUCAAAUUGGCUUUUUGCCAAAUGACCGUAUGACAGAACACGUAUUCACCCUGCACAACCUAAUUGACAAACAAACCAAAACAAAGGCAAGUCUUCUCAUCCUUUAAAAAAAAGGUUUUGACUCAAUUUGAGGGUCUGCUGUACAAAUUGAUGGAAAGUGGUGUUGGGGGAAAAACAUACAACAUUAUCAAAUACAUGUUCACAAACUACAAGUGUGUGGUUAAAAUUGGCAAAAAACACACAUUUCUUUCCACAGGGCCGGGGGGUGAGACAGUGAUGCAGCUUAAGACCCACCCUCUUCAACAUAUAUAACGAAUUGGCAAGGGCACUAGAGCCGUCUGCUGCACCUAUACCCGCUAAUGAUCAAAAUCCAGAAAAGAGCUGUUAAAUUCAACAACUACCUAAAAGGAAACAAUUCCCAAACCAUCCAUAACAAAGCCAUCACAUACAGAGAAAUUAGCCUGGAAAAGAUCCCCCUAAGCAAGCUGGUUCUGGGGCUCUGCUUACAAACACAAACAGACCCCACAGAGCCCCAGGACAAACCAACCAAAUCAUGAGAAAACAAAAAGAUAAUUACUUGACACAAUGGAAAGAAUUUGCACAAGAAAUGAGCAAACUAGAAUGCAAUAUGGCCCUAAACAGAGAGCACACCGUGGCAGAAUACCUGACCACUGUGACUGACCAAAAAAUAAGAAAAUCUUUGACUUUGUAUAGACUCAGUGAGCAUAGCCUUGCUAUUGAGAAAGGCCGCCAAAGGCAGACUUGGUUCUCAAGAGAAGACAGGCUAUGUGCUCACUGCCCACAAAAUGAAGUGGAAACUGAGCUGCACUUCCUAACCUCCUGACAUACGUAUGUAUGACCAUAUUAGAGACACAUAUUUCCCUCAGAUUACACAGAUCCACAAAGAAUUAAAAAACAAAUCAAAAUUUGAUAAACUCCCAUAUCUACUGGGGGAAAUAUCACAGUGUGCAAUCACAGCAGCAAGAUUUGUGAUCUGUUGCCACAAAAAAGGGCAACCAGUGAAGAACAAAGACCGUUGUAAAUACAACCGAUAUUUAUGUUUAUUUAUUUUCCCUUUUGUACUUGAACUAUUUGCACAUUUUUACAACACUGUAUAUAGACAUAAUAUGACAUUUUAAGUGUCUUUAUUCCUUGGGAACUUUUGAGUGUAACAUUUACUGUAAAUCUUCUAUUGUUUAUUUCACUUUUGUUUAUUAUCUAUUUCACUUGCUUUGGCAAUGUUAACAUAUGUUUGCCAUGCCAAUAAAGCCCCUUAAAUUGAGAGAGAGAGAGAGAGAG